GACGAACGCUGGCGGCGUGCCUAAUACAUGCAAGUAGGACGCAGUUGCGAACGGGUGAGUAACGCGUAGGUAACUACCUAUUAGAGGGGGAUAACUAUUGGAAACGAUAGCUAAUACCGCAUACUAGUAGAUGGACCUGCGUUGUAUUGGCUAGUAGGUAGGGUAAUGGCCUACCUAGGCAACGAUACAUAGCCGACCUGGGAGGGUGAUCCGCCACACUUGGACUGAGGCACGGCCCCAGAUCCUACGGGAGGCAGCAGUAGGGAAUUUUCGGCAAUGGGGGGAACCCUUGCCGAGCAACGCCGCGUGGGUGAAGAAGGGUUUCGGGUCGGAAAGCUCUGUUGUUAAGGAAGCGGUACUUAACCAGAAAGGGACGGCUAACUACGUGCCAGCAGCCGCGGUAAUAC
rnacentral:rRNA from 1 species